rnacentral:rRNA from 1 species
AUACGUAGGGUGCGAGCGUUAAUCGGAAUUACUGGGCGUAAAGCGUGCGCAGGCGGUUCUAUAAGACAGAUGUGAAAUCCCCGGGCUUAACCUGGGAACUGCGUUUGUGACUGUAGGACUUGAGUGUGGCAGAGGGGGGUGGAAUUCCACGUGUAGCAGUGAAAUGCGUAGAGAUGUGGAGGAACACCGAUGGCGAAGGCAGCCCCCUGGGUCAACACUGACGCUCAUGCACGAAAGCGUGGGUAGCAAACAGGAUUAGAUACCCUGGUAGUCCACGCCCUAAACGAUGCGAACUAGGUGUUGGGGAAGGAGACUUUCUUAGUACCGCAGCUAACGCGUGAAGUUCGCCGCCUGGGGAGUACGGUCGCAAGAUUAAA